rnacentral:rRNA from 1 species
UAGGCAGAUCAGAAGUAAGGGGUGAAAUCCCAGGGCUCAACCCUGGAACUGCCUCUUAAACUCCUGGUCUUGAGUUCGAGAGAGGUGAGUGGAAUUCCGAGUGUAGAGGUGAAAUUCGUAGAUAUUCGGAGGAACACCAGUGGCGAAGGCGGCUCACUGGCUCGAUACUGAC